CCCGGGAUGCCCCAGCACAAGCAGAGAGGGUGGAGCAGGGCAGGAGUCUCUUUUUAUGUGGGAACAAAGAAAAGAUCCUCAUGGUAGAACCUAUUAUGUGGAUCAUAAUACUCGAACUACCACAUGGGAGAGACCACAACCUUUACCUCCAGGUUGGGAAAGAAGAGUUGAUGAUCGUGGAAGAGUUUAUUAUGUGGAUCAUAACACCAGAACAACAACGUGGCAGCGGCCUACCAUGGAAUCUGUCCGAAAUUUUGAACAGUGGCAAUCUCAGCGGAACCAAUUGCAGGGAGCUAUGCAACAGUUUAACCAACGAUACCUCUAUUCGGCUUCGAUGUUAGCUGCAGAAAAUGACCCUUAUGGACCUUUGCCACCAGGCUGGGAAAAAAGAGUGGAUUCAACAGACAGGGUUUACUUUGUGAAUCAUAACACAAAAACAACCCAGUGGGAAGAUCCAAGAACUCAAGGCUUACAGAAUGAAGAACCCCUGCCAGAAGGCUGGGAAAUUAGAUAUACUCG
rnacentral:sRNA from 1 species